rnacentral:lncRNA from 1 species
UCCUCAUCGGAGUGCCUUGCAGUGCCUCGCCCCAAGCCGCGUCCUCACCGGAUCCGCGCUCGCCGGCCUCCCCGUCGCGCCAAGUCCCUGCUCCCGCGACCCCUGCCUCGUAUGUGUCCUAUUCGAUGAAGGAAGACGAACGCUGACCACACGCGUUGACUGCGGCUCGUCUGCGAGCGACCGCCAGUGGGCUCUAGGCCCAGCAUCGCCAGGUCACCCAAAGCCCGAUGUGAGCAGUCCCUGCAGCCCCUCCUCUCUGUUGGCCCUGUUUGUGAAGAUUCAGCCCGAUGUGUUUUUUUCCUUAGCUGUGAUUUUAUCAAUUUCUAGGGAAUUGCACUUUUGCAGAUCAGCCCCUAAACUUCACACAUUUCAUUACUCACAAACGGUGCAUCAUAUGUGAAAACUUUAAAUAUGAAAAAUGCUUAGAAUUUUGUGUGGGAUAAUAAUAUCAAACUUUCUUGCACGUUUGAAAUGCUUAAAAUGAUGUUUUCUUAUAUUUGCCUAUUGCCAUGCUAAAAUGAUUUAACUCAUAACUAAAUAACCGUAGCUCGGUUUCUAAUAAACUUUAUAUGUAAAUGGGGUAGAAUUUUGCCUAGUUUAACAUGGUGGCAUCACUUUGCAUGUUUAACAACUAUAAAAUUUGGUUUAGGGCAGAACAGCACCAAACCUAAUAUAUGCAUAUGGGGAUUUACCGGAAUUGUUGUUAGUUGCUUCCGGCCUCAUUUAAACUUGACUAGAUAUGUAGUUUUACUUUGCUUCACCCUCUUGCCAUGCUAACAACAUUUAAUCUUGUUGGGUACAUAAACGAGAUCGAACUAAGUAACCCGUAUGCGGUGUUCCGUCAACAUGCGUCCUGUUGCAUAUUGAGCUCCACUUAAUUUGUAGGAUUGCUUGUGCAUUUUGCCAUGCCAUGCCUCUUUAAACCGGACAUGCAUCAUACUUGAUUGUGCAUCAUGCCAUGAUUAUGUGAUGGUUGUUUACUAUAUUGUGUGCUUCUUUUCAGUGUUGCUUUUUCGGGUUGGUUUCGAUAACUUCGUGUUGUGAGGACCCGUUCGACUACGUCCGUUUGUAUUCUUCAUGGACUCGUUCUUCUUCCUUGCGGGAUUUCAGGCAAGAUGACCAUACCCUCGAAAUCACUUCUAUUUUUGCUUGCUAGUUGCUCGCUCUUUUGCUAUGCCUAUGCUGCGAUACCUACCACUUGCUUUUCAUGCCUCCCAUAUUGUUAAACCAAGCCUCUAACCCACCUUAUCCUAGCAAACCGUUGUUUGGCUAUGUUACCGCUUUGCUCAGCCCCUCUUAUAGCGUUGUUAGUUGUAGGUGAAGAUUGGAGUUUGUUCCAUGUUGGAACAUGGUUAUUUUGUUGGGAUAUCACAAUAUCUCUUAUUUAAUUAAUGCAUCUAUAUACUUG